CCUUUCGUGCUCCCCAUUCGGCGAGUCAGCGAGCACCGGCUGGAACCCUAGCCAUUCUUUCUCCCGCACGUCUCUCUCAAGCCUCCGCCGCCACCAGCCAUCCUCCCCGUCCCGCCUCUUCUCCUCCCCAUCGCCCCCUCCCCCCGUCGGUCGUCCUGCUGCAUCUCCUGAAGGGGCGCCGCGGCCGGUGGCGCCGCUGCUCCCCCGUCGAGCUUGAGCGUCCCCAUCACAAGGAGGAGAGGAGGUUGCCGCUGGCGUUGCUGCUCGGCCCUCUCUUCCCCACCACGUUGAUCCGACGCACCACUCCUCCGCGGGCGGCCACGUCUAACCCUAUCGCCACGGUCGCCGGUGCACGGCGGGCGGCUACGGCUAACCCUAGCGCCAUAGUCGCCGGUGCACGGCGUCGCCCAUGGACGACGGCGCUGCGCCUGCACCUGCGGUUGGUCCUCCCCGAGACUGGUUCUUGCCAGAUCUGCUGUUGUGCUCAUUGAUUUGCAGCCUCGUCCGCUCCUGUCUGUGCAUAUUUUGAUCCGAGCCGGUUGCAUCUUAGUUCACGGAUCUUUGGGUCAUCUGCAGGCCUUACCUUGAGCUCUCUGGAAUGAUUGUUGUAGGUGCGCUCUCAUCUUCGCGCCAUUGUCCACCUCUCCCCUGAGCUCGGCUCAAUUCCGUGGCUGGGGUCUGCUCUGUGUGCGACAACAUCUAUCCCAAAAGUGUAGGAGUCCUUGGACAAAGUUGGACUUUCUUGUCGGCAAGCUUGCCAAUUCCAUCUUGUUCGUAGAAAACAUGAUAAGAGCAUGGAGAUGGAUUGCUGCAUAUAUAUGUUGUUCCUUUUAAUCUCCAUAUGAGAUAGAAGAUUCUGGUUGUGCUCUAUUAACAUGAUUGGAUUUUGUGUGUGUUUUAGAAAACAUGGUAAGAGCAUGGAUGGAUUUAUGCAAAUUCAUGUCAUUGAUGCGGGAUCACGCCGGCCCUCCCUUGUGCUAGCCAGCCAACAGGAAGCUCCUGGUGGUGCUCCUGGAUGUGCUAUACAUCACCUCAUCCUCUCCUUGGCCGCUUCGGUGCUCGUGGCAUUCGCGCUCAUCGGUGGGACGGUGCAAGGUGCAACUCCGAUGCAGCGACGUGGAUGUGCGAUGUAGGAAGCGGUUCCUCGCCGGCUGGACGGCGUUCAGGCGCAACCCCGUCGCCCACUGAGUACUGCCUCGGCUAUAACCUCCCUCGUGAGCUUCAUCUUCCUCCUGCUCUGCUUCGGCUACUGCAUGGGACAUGGCCAGGGCUACAAUGAUCAGUUAUGGCUGAUAUAGGCAUGCUCUCGAGCAAUCGAGGCACUUGUGGGUAUUAAUUUGGAUCCCCCCUCAUUUCUUUGAGCCAUUUUGAUCACGUUCUUAUUUUAGUGGCUCUGUCCUUGGAUGGUCAUUUCUGAUGAGUGAUAACCAGGGCAGUUUCACCCUCAUAAGAACAUCGAGAAAUAAGGGAUUCAGUCACUCCCGCGCCUCCUCAGAGCUCAGCGGAUUCUGGCCGUCUGAUCCAUUUUCCCGAUGCAUUUUUGUCCGUUAGAUCGAUGUGGUGAAUGAUCUCGGCCGUAGGAUCGAGCCCGAGCUCCUGUAGCAAUGAAUAGUUACUCCCGCGGUGAGAUAUCUCGUGACGCCGCGUUCGAAUCACGUGCCCCAUCGGUCGGAAGCCAUUCUUGCUAGGGCAAUGAUGAUUAGCGUGCCUUUGAGCAAUUGAGGCACCUGUGGGUAUCAAGUUGGAUCCUCCCUCUUGUCUCUAGAAUCCUUUUUGAUCCUGUGAUACUUAUUGUUCUGUCCUUGGAUGGUCAUUCUUGUUGAAUGAUAACCAGGCAGAUCCACUGUAUAAACAGAUUGAUCUGGUGAAAGAGAUGAUGGGGCUAGAUUAUAUGACCGAGGAAAGGCGAAUGUGAGCCCACUAUGCAUUCAACCCUGAACCCUUUUUAUUUGUAUUUAAAAGUGUUGCUUAUUUAUGCUCCGGUGUUUAUAGCCGUCUUAUGUAAGUAUUUCUUCUCUCUCAUUCCUUUGAUCUUUUAUUGUUUGUUGUUGGUCCUUGAUCUAAUCUGGUUAAGAGUAAGUUGCACUUUGUUAUUCUGGGAUAAGCGAUGGUUCGGCAAUGCUAUUGGUUCUUCAUGAUGAGUUCAAUGGAGGAUUUUUGAUAUUAUUUUAUUGUUAACGAGUCAUGCGAGUAAGCUUUCUUGCAGGUACCCACACUUCUCUCUCCCUCCUGAUUAGCCUGAUCUCUUUUCUAUACGUGUCUAAAAGUUGUCUGUCUACAAGCUUUUUGUUUAGCUUAACAGAGAAAGACUAAAAUACAUUUUGUUUCUAUCACAAGAAUGGAUGCAAGUGUCUUGUGCAUUGGAUUCCAAGGGGAAGUCACAUCCAGAAAAAGAAACAACAAUCAAUUGUAUGGUUGUGCAAAAAGUCAAUAACAAAGAAACAAAGUAUGCUAAUGUUUGCUCUGAUUUAUAUGAUGACAUUUCUUCUUGAAACUUACCACUUUGUAAUGUUUUGGACAAGCUUUUACCCAAGUGCAGUAUUUGCUUUACUGUUUGCCUCAGUGUACCCAACUUUUCUGGUAGACCAAAUGCCUAGCAACACCAUGUAAUAUAGGAAGGAAAGAAAAGUUAGUAUACACAUAAUGUUGGCAUUUUUCAUAUGGUGAAGUUCUGAUUUUGUACUUAAUCUAAAACAUUAGUGCUAUGUUUUACUUUGUUGGUAACCUGUCAAUUUGUAAGCAUCCUGCCCUUCUCAUUUUCAGUGGAACUUAAUAAUAUCAUCUCUCAUUAAUUUUGUCCCUCGUUAUUUUAUAUCAUAUGAAAGUUGUUUACACAUCGGUAUCUUUUUGCAGAAAGGACUGCAUACAUUGGACACUUGACUGGAGGUUUAAUUCAUUUGAUAUUGUCUUCACUAACUGUGAGUGAGUUUACAUUUAUCUAUCAUUACAAAAUGAUUUCUUCUGUUCUUCCAGUCUGCAUGUUUUGUGACCUUACAACUUCUCCAUGAUGGCAAUAUAUCUGCUUAUGACUAUUCUAAUUGUUCUCAUGGUUGCUUUCCCUUUUGAUGACUCAUAUGCAUGAUAUGUCUUAUCCUUAAACUUCUUAUCACAUUUUGUUUUACUUGACCGUUGCAUCUAGGAAAUUUUUGCGUAAACAGAUCUACCAUUGGUAUAUAUGUUGAAGUAGUAACUUUAAACCUCCUCGCAAUACAAAACAAUAGUUAGUUUAAACCAUAUGCAAGCCCAUUUUACAUGAAAUUUUCUGGUUUUAUCACAUUGCAUUGUCCACCGAUGAAUAUAACCUAUACAGACUGUUGUAUGAAUAUCAUCACCUUUUUUAAGUUGAUCUGCCUUCAGUGGUAUGUACUACUAUUUUCUUCGACAUAUAACAAUGGAUAGAAUGUGCACAAUUGUGUUUCUAUAGUUAUUUGCCCUUCAUAAAAAAUUUCUACCUGCUUAAUGAUUGUCAUUCAGAAUUUAGAUGUUUUUUGGAUGAAAAAUGAUGUUUCAUUCUUUUCGUAGUCCACUGGAUAGUCCAAAAUCUCGUUUACAUAGUUAAUUAUUCGUUGGUAACUCAGAAGUGGUUGUUCAUAACUAAUCGUGCAUGCAUGUUUAGUUAUGUACCUUGAGCUUUAUUGUAGUCUGCAAGAAGUUUCCUACUGUUCCACUCCUCAUUUGUGCAUCUUAUCAGUAGGUGCUUAUUUAUUUAAUCAUCUUGAUUAUUUGAUCAGCUGACGGUUCAAUUCCACUUUGAUGCUUGAAUGUCUCGAAAAGAAGGUAAAGAUGGAUAUAUGCACCCUGUUGAAGUUACAAUUGUUUUUUCUUACUUCUAUAGUUUUAUUCAGUUUCUAAAGGCCUUUCAAGCUUUCUAUUCUUAUGGAUAUCUACAUUUCCGUACAUUUUCUCAAGUUUUGGAUUUGGAGUGACCAGUAUGAUUGGGUUCUCCAUUAGACAUUAUCUACAGUCUCCCCGACAUUUCUUAUUUCAUAUGCAAGCAGCUAACUGAUGUAACAUGAUUAUGUUUUGGGUGUAGCUCUACUUUUUCAAGGAUGUAUUUCGUAGCUAUAAUGUUUUUUUAAGUAUCACAUUUUACGGAUGAUUGUACCUAUAAUGUUGUCCAUAUAAGAUACAGGGCAAAGUAUUUGUGCAACCUCUGUCCCUGCCCAACGUGUUGUGCGUUGUAGGAGGAGCAAGCGGACCCCGGUCUGGCAUCAAGCCGAGCCAUGUCCAGGUUGGAGCGGUGAUGGCAGCUGCAGCGGGAUAGACGGCGCCGGCAACAAGCACAGUUCCUCAUCUUUGUCUCCGACGAAAAAGAUCAUCUGGUGACAAAACACCUCCUCCUUCUCUUCUCUGUGUGUGCUCCUCCCAUUGAUGAUAAAUAGAUAGAAGUUGUUUCAGGACAGGGUAUCUUGCUGGGAAACAGACUACGUAGUCUGUACUGUAUGUGCCAUUAAAACUGUUUAUUGUUAUUGCAACUGAAGCUGCAUAAAAGGGCUUUCGGUUGUUUAUACAUUACUCAGCCUCCAGUCUCAUUAUGUACAAAUGACUUGAUCUAAUCAUUAUGAAAGACCUAUGGGGUGUGUUGCUUUCUGUAUAAAUAACUUGCUAUAAUUGUAGGUUUGUUCUAUUUCUUUUUUUUCAAACUUGAUGCGUCGAGCUUUGAGCUACUAUAAUAAUUUGAUGAUCCUUUUUGGAAGAUAGUUCAAUAGUGAAUUUGACCACUUAUGUAUAGGUAUUUGUUGUUGUGUUAUGUAUGGAGAUGCAGAUUCUCAGGCUUAAGGUUUUAGUUUGGUAGUUUUAAGUGUUAUUGAUUGUUUUGCUGCAACUGGUUGUUGCUCGGCAUGAUAACCAAAGGAAUG